rnacentral:rRNA from 1 species
AGUGAACGCUGGCGGUAGGCCUAACACAUGCAAGUCGAACGGCAGCAUAGUAAGAGCUUGCUCUUACGGGUGGCGAGUGGCGGACGGGUGAGGAAUACAUCGGAAUCUACUUUUUCGUGGGGGAUAACGUAGGGAAACUUACGCUAAUACCGCAUACGACCUACGGGUGAAAGCAGGGGAUCUUCGGACCUUGCGCGAUUGAAUGAGCCGAUGUCGGAUUAGCUAGUUGGCGGGGUAAAGGCCCACCAAGGCGACGAUCCGUAGCUGGUCUGAGAGGAUGAUCAGCCACACUGGAACUGAGACACGGUCCAGACUCCUACGGGAGGCAGCAGUGGGGAAUAUUGGACAAUGGGCGCAAGCCUGAUCCAGCCAUACCGCGUGGGUGAAGAAGGCCUUCGGGUUGUAAAGCCCUUUUGUUGGGAAAGAAAAGCAGCAGGUUAAUACCCCGCUGCUCUGACGGUACCCAAAGAAUAAGCACCGGCUAACUUCGUG